rnacentral:tRNA from 1 species
CAAAUUAGAGCUUUAAAGCAUUUUAGUUACAUUAAAAAGUUAAUUGUAGAAUCAAUUUAAUUUGA